rnacentral:rRNA from 1 species
ACGAACGCUGGCGGCGUGCUUAACACCUGCAAGUCGAACGGAAAGGCCCUGCUUUUGUGGGGUGCUCGAGUGGCGAACGGGUGAGUAACACGUGAGUAACCUGCCCUUGACUUUGGGAUAACUUCAGGAAACUGGGGCUAAUACCGGAUAGGAGCUCCUGCUGCAUGGUGGGGGUUGGAAAGUUUCGGCGGUUGGGGAUGGACUCGCGGCUUAUCAGCUUGCUGGUGGGGUAGUGGCUUACCAAGGCUUUGACGGGUAGCCGGCCUGAGAGGGUGACCGGCCACAUUGGGACUGAGAUACGGCCCAGACUCCUACGGGAGGCAGCAGUGGGGAAUAUUGCACAAUGGGCGGAAGCCUGAUGCAGCAACGCCGCGUGCGGGAUGACGGCUUUCGGGUUGUAAACCGCUUUCGCCUGUGACGAAGCGUGAGUGACGGUAAUGGGUAAAGAAGCACCGGCUAACUACGUG